GUUCAAUUCCUUAUUUUUCCAAACUCGAGUGCUCAGAAAUCCUCCAACUUUUCCCCCUAAUCAAACAGGAUUGAGCAGGUUUCGACUAUUCUAGUGCCGCCUUCCCUAUUUUUGACCCAGUUGUGCUCGAUUUGUUCGUUUGAAAACUCAACGAGGUUUUGAGCGGAUGAAUCCGUCGGGGUUUUAGGUUGUUAAGCUUCAUUCUCUGCCUCAAAGCUUUUGGGGUUUAAUUAACAAUGACCGAUCGCAUCAACA
rnacentral:misc_RNA from 1 species